CUGGGUUAAGCGACGUCACUGUGAGCUGCUGUGAACGCUCAGGGGACCCUGUAGCCUACAUCACACUGCAAGAAGUGUAAGAGGCUGCCUUGUCCCUUGCCCGGAGGAAGCAUUGGUUCUUGAAGCCUGGAGGAAGCCAGACAAUGGUGGGAUGUGGGUGUCAAGUCCGCCUUAAGUGUGCCGGGUGCUGAUUGUGCUGCUGUGUCAACCCCGUGUUGUGCUCCAAACUGAUGGGGGCAGAAAAACAGGAAGCUGCCCUUCCCAUACACUGUAGGCAGCGGGGCAGGCAGCCGUCAGGUCAACAGUCUGUUGUCACUGACUGCAAAGGCGUCAGUGCCCUCUGAUCGACAGUAAAA